UACGGGGGGGGCAAGCGUUGUUCGGAAUUACUGGGCGUAAAGGGCUCGUAGGCGGCCAACUAAGUCGGACGUGAAAUCCCUCGGCUCAACCGGGGAACUGCGUCCGAUACUGGAUGGCUUGAAUCCGGGAGAGGGAUGCGGAAUUCCAGGUGUAGCGGUGAAAUGCGUAGAUAUCUGGAGGAACACCGGUGGCGAAGGCGGCAUCCUGGACCGGUAUUGACGCUGAGGCGCGAAAGCCAGGGGAGCAAACGGG
rnacentral:rRNA from 1 species